AUUGAACGCUGGCGGCAGGCUUAACACAUGAAAGUCGGACUAGUGGCGGGCGGGUGGGUAAUGGUUUGGAAUCUAGCUUAUGGAGGGGGAUAACUACGGGAAACUGUAGCUAAUACCGCGUACCAUAGGAUGAGCCCAAGUUGGCUUAGGUAGUUGGUGAGGUAAAGGCUCACCAAGCAGACGAUCUCUAGCUGGUCUGAGCGGAUGACAAGCGACACUGGGACUGAGACACGGCCCAGACUCCUACGGGAGGCAGCAGUGGGGAAUAUUGCGCAAUGGGGGCAACCUGACGCAGCCAUGCCGCGUGAAUGAAGAAGGCCUUCGGGUUGUAAAGGUCUUUCGGUAGCGAGGCGUUAACUACAGAAGAAGCACCGGCUAACUCCGUGCCAGCAGCCGCGGUAAUAC
rnacentral:rRNA from 1 species